AACGAACGCUGGCGGCAGGCCUAACACAUGCAAGUCGAGCGCGCCCUUCGGGGUGAGCGGCGGACGGGUGAGUAACGCGUGGGAACGUGCCCUUCUCUGCGGAAUAGCCUCGGGAAACUGAGAGUAAUACCGCAUACGCCCUUUGGGGGAAAGAUUUAUCGGAGAAGGAUCGGCCCGCGUUGGAUUAGGUAGUUGGUGGGGUAAUGGCCCACCAAGCCGACGAUCCAUAGCUGGUUUGAGAGGAUGAUCAGCCACACUGGGACUGGGACACGGCCCAGACUCCUACGGGAGGCAGCAGUGGGGAAUCUUAGACAAUGGGGGCAACCCUGAUCUAGCCAUGCCGCGUGAGUGAUGAAGGCCUUAGGGUUGUAAAGCUCUUUCAGCUGGGAAGAUAAUGACGGUACCAGCAGAAGAAGCCCCGGCUAACUCCGU
rnacentral:rRNA from 1 species